rnacentral:rRNA from 1 species
AGGAAAAGUCUCUAAGCUUCAGUUACACAGGAAUCGUACCCGAAACCGACACAGGUGGUCAGGUCGAGUAGACCAAGGCGCUUGAGAGAACUCUGCUGAAGGAACUAGGCAAAAUGGUACCGUAACUUCGGGAGAAGGUACGCUGUUGUUGGUGAUGGAACUCGCUUCCUGAGCUGACGACAGCCGCAGAAACCAGGCCGCUGCAACUGUUUAUUAAAAACAUAGCACUCUGCAAACACGAAAGUGGACGUAUAGGGUGUGAUGCCUGCCCGGUGCUGGAAGGUUAAUUGAUGGGGUUAGCGUAAGCGAAGCUCUUGAUCGAAGCCCCAGUAAACGGCGGCCGUAACUAUAACGGUCCUAAGGUAGCGAAAUUCCUUGUCGGGUAAGUUCCGACCUGCACGAAUGGCAUAAUGAUGGCGGCGCUGUCUCCAGCAGAGGCUCAGUGAAAUCGAAAUCGCUGUGAAGAUGCAGUGUACCCGCGGCUAGACGGAAAGACCCCGUGAACCUUUACUGCAGCUUGACACUGAACUUUGACCUUACUUGUGUAGGAUAGGUGGGAGGCUUUGAAGCUGGAACGCUAGUUCCAGUGGAGCCGUCCUUGAAAUACCACCCUGGUAAUGUUGAGGUUCUAACUCUGUCCCGUGAUCCGGGACGAGGACCGUGUCUGGUGGGUAGUUUGACUGGGGCGGUCUCCUCCUAAAGAGUAACGGAGGAGUACGAAGGUGCGCUCAGCGUGGUCGGAAAUCACGCGUAGAGUAUAAAGGCAAAAGCGCGCUUAACUGCGAGACCCACAAGUCGAGCAGGUACGAAAGUAGGUCUUAGUGAUCCGGUGGUUCUGUAUGGAAGGGCCAUCGCUCAACGGAUAAAAGGUACUCUGGGGAUAACAGGCUGAUACCGCCCAAGAGUUCAUAUCGACGGCGGUGUUUGGCACCUCGAUGUCGGCUCAUCUCAUCCUGGGGCUGAAGCAGGUCCCAAGGGUAUGGCUGUUCGCCAUUUAAAGAGGUACGCGAGCUGGGUUUAGAACGUCGUGAGACAGUUCGGUCCCUAUCUACCGUGGGCGCUGGAAAUUUGAGAGGAUCUGCUCCUAGUACGAGAGGACCAGAGUGGACGAACCUCUGGUGUACCGGUUGUGACGCCAGUCGCAUCGCCGG